rnacentral:rRNA from 1 species
GAUUUCUGGUUAGGUGCGCUUGGCCCGCCACCGUCAGGUGUUUUGUGAGUGCCGAUGCGCGCUUGCCAUCUCUGUCUGGAGAACGUUCCUGCCCUUUACUGGGUUGGGUUCGCAAUCCAGAACUUUUACUUUGAAAAAAUUAGAGUGUUUAAAGCAGGCGUCUGUUGCUGUGAAUACAUUAGCAUGGAAUAAUAACUUAGGGCUUCUGUCUUAUUUUGUUGGUUUCUAAGACUUGAAGUAAUGAUUGAUAGGGACAGUUGGGGGUGCUAGUAUUCAGCGGCCAGAGGUGAAAUUCUUGGAUUCGCUGAAGACUAACUUAUGCGAAAGCAUU